ensembl:lncRNA
GAGCGACUGAGCGACUGAGCUUUCCCUUUAGGCCUCCCCAGAGACGGCUGCAGCUUAGCUUUGACUUCCCGGGGGGGAACGGAGGACUUUGGUGCAUGCCGCAAGAGGGGUGUUCCCUGCUAGUCCCGCGAGCGCAGCGAGUGUCCUGUCUUCCUCCUUUUUACUUAGUCCAGAUCAGAGCCACGCGGUAGUUGUGUGGCCGAGGCCGCCCUGUAGCCAGGGCUUGGGCCUGUCCUUGCGUGGCCGCCUGUUCUGCUGGCGGCGUGGCAGCCCUGUAGUCGGGGUGUGUGUCCCAAGCUUAGGAGCCCUCUGUCCCUUGAGCAGCCCGCCCGCCCGCCCUGUACUCAGGUGUGGGGAGGCUGCAGCGUUGCAGCCGGCUGCUUUAGCCAUCCAGCUGGUGGGAAUGACCCCUCCCUGUCCCGUCAGAGGGUGCAGGUUGAGGUGCUGCUUGCGUGUGGGGUGACCUCCCCGCUCGGUGGGUCGAGGCUGCUCCCUGGGUUCCCCAAGAGAAGACGUUGGUGAUGUUCUGCUGCUGCCGGGCGGGCCCGCCUGUAGCUCAGGCGUUGGCGGGAGCCUCGUGCUCCGCGGGGCUUCUUGGAGAGGGUGAGGUGCGGGGGUACGGUCCUGUAGGCAGGGCUGUGUGUGCCCCCCGUGUGUGCUUGCUGAGCUGUGUUCCGAGAGACCCCCCCCCCCCCCCCCCCGGACUCGGGUGGGAAUGUGGCCCCGGCCUUUCAGAGGCACGGGGCUGCGAGGUGUGGGCUUGGGCUUGCGCCCUCCCUGGAAGUUGAGGCUGGGAUCCCGACUGCGGCCUUUGGCCGUGCCGCCCCGCUGCCUGGCUGCUGAGAGUUGUUCCUGCCGCUGGGGGGGAAACCGAGCUCUGUGGCUCCAGGGGUGUCGUCCACCCGCCUGUAAUCAGGGUCUGGGUGCGCGAGCGUUUGUGCUCUGCUGGCAGCCUGUGUGGGGUGACCGCCCCGUUAGCGGGGUGUGGGUCGAGGUGCCCCGGACUGGGAGAGAAGGAGCCUCUCCCGGCCGUAGGGAUGGGGGCUGCCCUGUAAGUCAGGGAGCAACCGUGCCCCGGAGUCCCAGGCCCUUUGCGUUGGAGGCAGUGGCUGGGGGCCCCCUGUAAGCAGGGAAGCUGGCUCUUUGGCCGCUGCUUUUUGUACGCCCAGCCCCAUUUGCCCAGCCUGCCCGCCUCUGUGAUCCCCCGCAGCACCGGCUGGAAGUCCGCCGCGCGUCAGUGAGGAGCUGCUGCAGAAGAAAGAAGAAGCAGCAGCGUGGGGACCUGGGCUUCAAAUCAAGUUAGCAAUCUGUUUGUGUGUUUAUCUCAUUAUCAUUUUAUUUGGAGCCUCAGUUUGAAUGGUUUUUUAUGACUUUAUCAGCCUUUUUCGCAGCACAAUCAGCUGAGAAUAUAUUUUUUAUGUUGUUCUUCCUGUUAUAUUUGCUGUUCAUUUCCUUUGUCUAUUUAGUCUUGGUUUUAGUUUUUGAUAGCGUUAAGGCUUUUGUUUCUUACUGGUUGAAUUUCCUGCCAACCUUUCUCACGGAAUCUCAGAGUGAUCCAGGUUUCAAGGCCCUCAAGUAUCAUGCAUCU